ACUAAGAGAGAUGGAGUCUUUCCUCUUGGAUGACAUCAGCUCUGUGAUACAGAACAAAGGCAUUGAGAGAAUCAUCUCACCAAUGAUCGUUCAGCUUUGCCAUCUGCUCAUCUCAAUGGAGAGAAAAGAAGUGGAGAAUGAAGUAUUUGCCUCACUGGAGAAGAUGGCUGAGGAAUUGGCGAAAGCUUGUGAAGACUUCGUGCAAGUUGUCAAAAGGUGUUGGAGCAAACUGCCUAUGUUUGAAUCUUAGCAACACCAUCAAUUUAGUGCAAUCCUAUAAAAAUUCCACAAGCUUUCUUUUUUAAAUGGAGCUUGAAAAGUUGAUACCAAAGUCCAUAUGAAAAAAAUUAAACAUAAGAACAACUAGAAGAACCCUGGAAUAAAAAGCUGUGGAGAGAGAAUAGCUUGUCAGGUAUUAAAAACACUUCUAGAUCCUCUUUUAGGAAAGUGUGUGAUACUGUCAUAUGAAGAGACAGAUUGACCACUGGAACAGAAUAAAAAGCCCAGAAACACACAACUACACAUGGAUCUGUAUACCACAAAGAGUGGACUUUAGUGCACGCAAAUUUGAAAAAUGAAACAGGCUGGCCGGGCGGGUGGCUCAUGCCUGUAAACUCAGCAUUUUGGGAGGCGGAGGCAGGUGGAUCACCUGAGGUCGGGAGUUCAAGACCAGCCUGGCCAGCAUGGUGAAACCCCAUCUCUACUAAAAAUACAAAAAUUAGCCGGGCGUGGUGCGGGCGCCUGUAGUC
rnacentral:sRNA from 1 species